GAUGAACGCUGGCGGCGUGCCUAAUACAUGUAAGUCGAGCGAACAGACGAGGAGCUUGCUCCUCUGACGUUAGCGGCGGACGGGUGAUUAACACGUGGAUAACCUACCUAUAAGACUGGGAUAACUUCGGGAAACCGGAGCUAAUACCGGAUAAUAUAUUGAACCGCAUGGUUCAAUAGUGAAAGACGGUUUUGCUGUCCCUUAUAGAUGGAUCCCCGCCGCAUCCGCUAGUUGGUAAGGUAACGGCUUACCAAGGCGACGAUGCGUAGCCGACCUGAGAGGGUGACCGGCCACACGGGAACUGAGCAACGGUCCAGACUCCUACGGGAGGCAGCAGUAGGGAAUCGUCCGCAAUGGGCGCAAGCCUGACGGAGCACCGCCGAGUGAGUGAGGAAGGUCUUCGGAUCGUAAAACUCUGUUAUUAGGGAAGACCAAAUGUGUAAGUAAAUAUGCACGUCUUGACGGUACCUAAUCAGAAAGCCACGGCUAACUACGUG
rnacentral:rRNA from 1 species